rnacentral:rRNA from 1 species
GACGAACGCUGGCGGCGUGCCUAAUACAUGCAAGUCGAACGCAUUUUCUUUCACCGUAGCUUGCUACACCGAAAGAAAAUGAGUGGCGAACGGGUGAGUAACACGUGGGUAACCUGCCCAUCAGCGGGGGAUAACACUUGGAAACAGGUGCUAAUACCGCAUAAUUCCAUUUACCGCAUGGUAGAUGGAUGAAAGGGGCUUUUGCGUCACUGAUGGAUGGACCCGCGGUGCAUGAGCUAGUUGGUGGGGUAACGGCCUACCAAGGCUGCGAUGCAUAGCCGACCUGAGAAGGUGAUCGGCCAAACUGGGACUGAGACACGGCCCAGAAUACUACGGGAAGCAGCAGUAGGGGAUCUUCGGCAAUGGACACAAAUCCUACCGAGCAACGCCGCGUGAGUGAAGAAGGUUUUCGGAUCGUAAAACUCUGUUGUUAGAGAAGAACAAGGAUGAGAGUGGAAAGUUCAUCCCUUGACGGUAUCUAACCAGAAAGCCACGGCUAACUACGUG